rnacentral:rRNA from 1 species
AUUGAACGCUGGCGGCAGGCCUAACACAUGCAAGUCGAGCGAGCGGCGGACGGGUGAGUAAUGUAUGGGGACUGCCCGAUAGAGGGGGAUAACGACUGGAAACGGUAGCUAAUACCGCAUACUAUCGGAUAACGCCUAUGGGAUUAGCUAGUAGGGGGGGUAAUGGCUCACCUAGGGGACGAUCCCUAGCUGGUCUGAGAGGAUGAUCAGUCACACUGGGACUGAGACACGGUCCAGACUCCUACGGAGGCAGCAGUGGGGAAUAUUGGACAAUGGGCGAAAGCCUGAUGCAGCCAUGCCGCGUGGUUGAAGAAGGCCUUAGGAUUGUAAAGCACUUUCAGUCGGGAGGCGUUACCGACAGAAGAAGCACCGGCUAACUCCGUGCCAGCAGCCGCGGUAAUAC